rnacentral:rRNA from 1 species
UACGAAGGGGGCUAGCGUUGUUCGGAUUUACUGGGCUUGAAGCGCACGUAGGCGGCGUUUGUAAGUGUCGGGUGAAAUCCCACGGCUCACCCGUGGAACUGCCCGGCAUACUGCGAUGCUAGAGUGUGGUAGGGGAGAGCGGAACUCCUGGUGGAGCGGUGAAAUGCGUAGAUAUCAGGAGGAACACCGGUGGCGAAGGCGGGUCUCUGGGCAACACUGACGCUGAGGAGCGAAAGCGUGGGGAGCGAACAGG